UUACCUUCUUAACAAUUCCCACAUAUAUGCUAGAGAAUAAGGCUCUAGUGUUUCUACCCGGUACCGUAAAUUCCGGACUAUGCGGGAAAGCGAACUUAAC
rnacentral:ncRNA from 2 species